rnacentral:rRNA from 1 species
GGGAAGAUUAUGCCAAGAUUAGCCGCGUUGGAUUAGGUAGUUGGUGGGGUAAUGGCCUACCMAGCCGACGAUCCAUAGCUGGUUUGAGAGGAUGAUCAGCCACACUGGGACUGAGACACGGCCCAGACUCCUACGGGAGGCAGCAGUGGGGAAUCUUAGACGAUGGGGGCAACCCUGAUCUAGCCAUGCCGCGUGAGUGAUGAAGGCCCUAGGGUUGUAAAGCUCUUUCAGCUGGGAAGAUAAUGACGGUACCAGCAGAAGAAGCCCCGGCUAACUCCG